GGCGAUGCGUCGUCGUGGCACCAACCAACGGACGCGAGCUUUGAACAAGAGCGCAAGCGCGGACCGUUUGACGAGACAGUCGCCGCAGCGGAUACAACACCUCGGUAAGAGUGCCUGGGCGGGCGGCCAGUUACCACAGAAGGGAUGCUGCGCAAGAGCAAGGGCCUGCUAAAAAACAGCUCAAGAGACUGAAGUGGUGGACAGCUUGCUG
rnacentral:lncRNA from 1 species